GCCUUCUUCCGUUAAUUAGUACCUACAUUUUUAAUACCAGCUAUGUCGAUUUACAGUAAUUAAAAUUGUUGUUACUCGUAGAUCUUUAAACCGUAUAAUAUCAUUUCUUCAUAUUCGUAUGAUUAUUCCACUGUAAAACAGUUGGUUACUUAUUUUAUUACCACCUAUCGAGUUUUGUUGACGUUGGUGAGCCAUCUCCGGUAAAGUCAAAACAAUACGUCGGCUGUGCCUUUAUAAUAUAGAGUAAGUAUCUUUGAAUACCUAUUAUGGCGAUUGUUAAUUACAUAAAAAUAAUAUUUUUUGUCAAAUUUUGAAGAGCGUCACCGGCAAUUUGUUUUCCAAUGCAUCUACAAAAUAGCGUCCGCGGUAAAGUUUGAAAUCGAUCGAACAUAAUUGACACGUGGCGAUUAAAGCUCAACAAUUUUAAUGGAAAAACGUAAAAUUUCAUAUUUUGUCGUAGAUAUACCGACCUAAAUGUUUAUUUUAACAAUAAAGUAAAAUUCAAAUUUGUGUGGCAACAACAAAUGAAAAACUUCUGGC